CCCGGCGACAAGCGGCGGAGGCAUGUGGAUUAAUUCGAUGCAACGCGGAAGAACCUUACCUGGGUUUGACAAUACACCGGAAAACCGUAGAGAUACGGUCCCCCUUGUGGUCGGUGUACAGGUGGUGCAUGGCUGUCGUCAGCUCGUGUCGUGAGAUGUUGGGUUAAGUCCCGCAACGAGCGCAACCCUUGUCUUAUGUUGCCAGCACGUGAUGGUGGGGACUCGUAAGAGACUGCCGGGGUCAACUCGGAGGAAGGUGGGGACGACGUCAAGUCAUCAUGCCCCUUAUGUCCAGGGCUUCACACAUGCUACAAUGGCCAGUACAGAGGGCUGCGAGACCGUGAGGUGGAGCGAAUCCCUUAAAGCUGGUCUCAGUUCGGAUCGGGGUCUGCAACUCGACCCCGUGAAGUCGGAGUCGCUAGUAAUCGCAGAUCAGCAACGCUGCGGUGAAUACGUUCCCGGGCCUU
rnacentral:rRNA from 1 species